CCUGGAGACUAAACUUCCUGAGAAAGAGGUAAACAGGAUGACUAAAAAUACUC
rnacentral:rRNA from 1 species